CCUACGGGUGGCAGCAGUAGGGAAUUUUCGUCAAUGGGCGCAAGCCUGAACGAGCAAUGCCGCGUGAACGAUGAAGGCCUUCGGGUCGUAAAGCUCUGUCCUCAAAGAAGAUAAUGACGGUACUUGAGGAGGAAGCCCCGGCUAACUACGUGCCAGCAGCCGCGGUAAUACGUAGGGGGCUAGCGUUAUCCGGAAUUACUGGGCGUAAAGGGUGCGUAGGUGGUUUCUUAAGUCAGAGGUGAAAGGCUACGGCUCAACCGUAGUAAGCCUUUGAAACUGGGAAACUUGAGUGCAGGAGAGGAGAGUGGAAUUCCUAGUGUAGCGGUGAAAUGCGUAGAUAUUAGGAGGAACACCAGUUGCGAAGGCGGCUCUCUGGACUGUAACUGACACUGAGGCACGAAAGCGUGGGGAGCAAACAGGAUUAGAUACCCGAGUAGUC
rnacentral:rRNA from 1 species